rnacentral:rRNA from 1 species
GGUUGCGAUCAUACCAGCACUAAUGCACCGGAUACCAUCAGAACUCCGCAGUUAAGCGUGCUUUGGCGAGAGUAGUACUAGGAUGGGUGACCCCCUGGGAAGUCCUCGUGUUGCAACCC